GGCAACAUACCCUUCGGGGUGUUGUGGCGCUGACGAGUGGCGGACGGGUGAGUAAUGCUUGGGAAUCUGCCCAGUAGUGGGGGACAACACGGGGAAACUCGUGCUAAUACCGCAUACGUCCUACGGGAGAAAGUGGAGGAUCUUCGGACUUCACGCUAUUGGAUGAGCCCAAGUCGGAUUAGCUUGUUGGUGGGGUAAAGGCUCACCAAGGCGACGAUCCGUAGCUGGUCUGAGAGGACGAUCAGCCACACUGGGACUGAGACACGGCCCAGACUCCUACGGGAGGCAGCAGUGGGGAAUAUUGGACAAUGGGGGCAACCCUGAUCCAGCAAUGCCGCGUGUGUGAAGAAGGCCUGCGGGUUGUAAAGCACUUUCAGUAGAGAAGAAAAGCCAGGGGUUAAUACCCCCGGGUCUUGACGUAACCUACAGAAGAAGCACCGGCUAACUCCGUGCCAGCAGCCGCGGUAAUACGGAGGGUGCGAGCGUUAAUCGGAAUUACUGGGCGUAAAGCGCGCGUAGGCGGCUAGGUCAGUCGGAUGUGAAAGCCCCGGGCUUAACCUGGGAAUUGCAUUCGAUACUGCCUGGCUAGAGUAUGGGAGAGGGAAGCGGAAUUUCCGGUGUAGCGGUGAAAUGCGUAGAUAUCGGAAGGAACACCAGUGGCGAAGGCGGCUUCCUGGCCCAAUACUGACGCUCAGUGCGAAAGCGUGGGUAGCGAACAGGAUUAGAUACCCUGGUAGUCCACGCCGUAAACGAUGAGAACUAGAUGUCGGGAGGAUUUACCUUUCGGUGUCGCAGCUAACGCAUUAAGUUCUCCGCCUGGGGAGUACGCCCGGCAACGGUAAAACUCAAAGGAAUUGACGGGACCCGCACAAGCGGUGGAGCAUGUGGUUUAAUUCGAUGCAACGCGAAGACCUUACCUGGUCUUGACAUCCUCGGAACUUUUCAGAGAUGGAUUGU
rnacentral:rRNA from 1 species